ACUGGGAGGGGGUGGAGCCUCCUUUGCCCAAGUUUCGAUCCCACCAGGACUGGAUAAUGCGCGUCCAGCCGGCGCUUUGUCGCAUCUGUGUUGCAGUGCCUGCGCUCUUUGGGCGAGGAAGUCCCUUCAGGGAAGGAGGAGGAAAGAGUGAGCCUCAUUCUGGCAUCCCGAAUCAGGUCCCCACCACCAGCUUGCUCUGCACUGGGCGGUCAGAGACACGGGAUGAUGCGUGUGCCGGGAUCCUAAAUGAAACUGCACAGCCAGAGAUCUAGUGUUUAGAGGAUGGGGAAGAACUCAACAAUUUAAAGUAGCUUAAGAAGUUGGGGAGAGGCUCAGAUGCCAGCAAGCCUCGUACUCUAUGAACCUGGCGGUUCAGAAACUUUGGUGUGAAGUUGGUCUGUACUACAGAUUUCGGUUCUCAUAGCGGUCCGGCUGUAAGAGCUCUCGAUUACAGGUGAAGGCAUAAACCGGGACUGGGGACGGGGUCUUGGACAAAGGAGGAAGAGGGAGGAAAUCCCAGCAAAUCACUGGACACUGAGAGAGGACGGAUUAGAACUGCAAGUCCCAGCAUGCUCUACAACACAAAAGGGAAAAUUGGUGGCUCUGAAACUAGAAAUCCCGACAUGCCCUAGAUCAAAGGAGGGGUAGCAGCUGAGGGUUCAGGUCCCAUCGCACCUAACGCUGGCGCUCACCUUGAAGGAACCCUCAAACUCAUCGCUCAUCCUUCGGAGCUCACGGCCGUAGCGCUGCGCUGCCCAGAGAUUGGGGGGAGCCGAACGCGAGCGUCCUCGAAAAGGGCUAAGCUCCUCCUCCAUCCCUUCAUCCUCCUCGGUCCCCGCUGGGUACGAACUGUGGCGACUCCGAGUCUCCAUAGCCCCUGCGCCUGCAGAGGUCAGGGAGUGGAAGAGGUGUGACUCUCUGGCCUGUUAUCUGUUCCACAGCCUUAGUCCCUCCUUUGUGAAUGCAGAGAACUCGGAGGGCUUUUGUGAGAAAUCGGUUAACUUCCACAAAUCCUAGUACAGUGCAUGUAAUGAAGUCUUUAGUGUACAAAAAGUUUACAGUGUCUUUCAUAAAAUACGGACAUAAGCUAUAACUA
rnacentral:lncRNA from 1 species